rnacentral:lncRNA from 1 species
AAAAAGGAAAUAAAUUUUCCUGAGCAACUUCUCCUAACUUCAAUAUCCAGAGAGAAAUUAAGAAAAUAAGAGGAAAGAUGAAAGCCUAACAAGAUUUAAGAAGAAAGUUUUCCAUUAUUCAUUUAAUUCACUUUUAGCUGACCAAGGCUAGUCACCCAGAACAACUUGUGAUCCCUGGACAAAGCCGUUCACAGCAGGUGGCCAAUGUUUUUACUUUUUCGAUUGUCAUUAGAAAAUAAACUGAAG